rnacentral:lncRNA from 1 species
UGUGUGUGAGGGAGUGUUUUAUUUUAUUGCUUGUGUCGGGUAGGUAUUUUGGUCCAGCCGAAAUUCUGAAAUGUUUGAAUGAAGGUUGGUUUCGGUUGUUGAGAGAAUUAUGGUGGGUUGGUAGUGAGGAUUUUGAGGAGAAGUUUUAGGGAUAUGAUGAGAGUUGGUGCCGAAUUUGAAUACUUUUUAUUUUAUUUUAUUUUUGCUUUUCUUCUCUCAAAAUUUCGGCUUGGGAAAGGCUUUCCCUCCAAUUUUCUUAUUCUUGUUUUUUUUCCAAAUUAUUUACUCCCCAAACUCCCCCUUUGUCGCCGUUGCUUUCCCUAACAUCACUCUUGUGCUGCCAAUUUUAUAUUUCU